rnacentral:rRNA from 1 species
UACGUAGGUGGCAAGCGUUGUCCGGAAUUACUGGGUGUAAAGGGAGCGUAGGCGGGAAUUCAAGUUGGGUGUGAAAUGUACAGGCUUAACCUGUGAGCUGCACCCAAAACUGGGUUUCUUGAGUGAUGUAGAGGCAGGCGGAAUUCCUAGUGUAGCGGUGAAAUGCGUAGAUAUUAGGAGGAACACCAGUGGCGAAGGCGGCCUGCUGGGCAUUAACUGACGCUGAGGCUCGAAAGCGUGGGGAGCAAACAGG